GAUGAAGAACGCAGCGAAAUGCGAUAAGUAAUGUGAAUUGCAGAAUUCAGUGAAUCAUCGAAUCUUUGAACGCACCUUGCACCCUUUGGCAUUCCGAAGGGUAUGCUCGUUUGAGUGUCAUUGUACUCUCACACUUCCGAUCUUUGGAUUGGGAGCGGUGGACUUGGGUGUCGCUGCUUACUGUGGCUCACCUCAAAUCGAUUCGUGCACCUCUUGGUUGGACAUAGUACGGCGUGAUAAGUGUCUUCGCCGGCACCUCAGUAGAGGGUGGCUGAUCGGGAGCUCUGCUUCAAACCGUCCUCGGACAACAACUGACAACUUGACCUCAAAUCGAGUAGGACUACCCGCUGAACUUAAGCAUAUCAAUAAGCGGAGGA
rnacentral:misc_RNA from 1 species